GGUUCAGUGCCUAGGAACCGCCGCCCGGGAAUGCCUGUCAGUCUGUCAGUGAAAGGGAAUGGUGAAAGGACUGUGCUCUGGGGUUUCCUCUGACACUGUCCACUUGACCUUCUCAAGACCGAAGAAGUGGAACAAGGACAGCCCCAACCCCAGCACUCACCAUCCAGUCGCUGUUCCAAACGUCUACAGCAUUGGAGCCACCAGUAGGUCAGGUGUGGCGACCCACACCUGUAUUAUUCCGCUGAUCAUGGAGCUGGGUGGUGGAGCUGGCUAGGUGGGGUGAUGUCCUCACUGGCUGGCAUUUCCUAGCCCGGAAGAUUUGUUCCUGAUGGGACAUAUUCUUAGCAGCCCGAGGUCCUGCUCUGACACCUUGGGUCUCUGUCUAGGCCCAACCAGUGCUGGCUGCCUGGCUGCUGGGUCAGGAAACCAAGUUGUGUCCAUUGUCAAGGGAGCAGGGGCACCUUAGAGACCGGAACCAUGGCUGUGACCCCAGGGGUCUCCUGAGGAGCCCGAGCAGCUGAACUGGUGAAGAGAUGGGAAGAAGCAGGUCCACCCUGCCGGACUCGCGACAGCACCCAGCACUGACCUGCCUGGCUCUGUGCUGUGAAGAGGCAGGGAGUGUGGGGAUGGGCCAGCCUGUUGCAGAGCCACGGAGGUGAUGCUGUCCUGCCCUGGGAGCCUCUAGGACUGAAGGAAGCAGAUCAUGCCUGAGCCUUGGGGUCUGCUGGGAUGGAUUUUCUUGGAACCGGCACCCUUCCGCUCCUCUCUCUACUCCCUUGGCUAUGUAGAGGCUGCAUUUUAAAAGGGGCCACUUCAAGGGAGAACAAGAGUCCUCACCAGGAACUGAACAGGCCAGCGUAUUGAUGUUGAACCUGCAGCUUCCACAGCUUUGAGAGCGAGCAUCUGAGAAGACGCCUACCUCUGCAGGUGCUGAGUGCUGCCCAAGACGGGACCUGGAAUGCCAUGUCACUGGGUCUCAUCAAAGACACAGAAAGGCCACGCCCAAAGGGGGAGGUCGCUUUGCCUGUGGUUUCUUGAAGCUACCCAUUGGUUCGUCGGCGUCCCCGGCGCCACCAUUCCGGCUGUAACCCUUCUCUUUCUCCGGGGCUGUGUGUGGAUUUCCAGAGUUGUCCCCUGAGGUUUGUGAAUUCUCCAAAGAGCUGGUUUCAAAGGCUUGGGGUGGGAUCGCUUGGAAAGAUGGCUCCCCCAGACAGAGGUCAGAAUACGUAUGUUGGCAAAGUGAGUCGACCAGAAAGGAAGCUAAGGGGGGGAGGUGGGUUCCAGGCAGGAGAGGGAGGAGCUGUGUGCAUGAAAGGACAGGUGGUGGUGACAGGCACAGCCUGCAUCAGUCAGCAUGAAGGAUGCACACAUCCUGGAGGCCUGAGCUUUGGAAAUGCGUCUGUCUCCCCACUGACGUCAGAACAGGGGACCGCUUGUGGAAGGGCUCACAAGUGCAUCCAGUUCAAAAAAAAUAUUGAAUCCCCAAGGUUCAAAUUUCCAUCUUGUAAAAACAAGCAGGGAUGGGCCUUGAUGAGGGUACCUGGUAUACAUUCGGCACUGAUAGCAUCAUUUGUGUUUUUUUUUUUUUUGUUCUUUUCAAACCUUUACAUGUUACAAAUACAGAGUCAGGUAUUUAAAAAAAAAAAAAAAAGACACCAGCAUGUCCUUUCAGUCUUUGUACAUUGUGAGCUCACAGGAGCCAACUCUAGGCUAGAACACAUUUUAAAACAUGGUUACAGACACUGCGCCACCAAGACAGAAUUAAGACACUGGUCUCCUGCAAAAAAAGAAAUCAACAUUUUUUUUUUUUUUUUAAAUCUACCCCAAUAGCCAA